rnacentral:rRNA from 1 species
GCCUAACACAUGCAAGUCGAGCGAUGAGGCUCCCUUCGGGGGGUACAUCAGCGGCGAACGGGUGAGUAACACGUGGGUGACCUUCCCCAAAGACGGGGAUAACUCUUGGAAACAGGGUGCUAAUACCCGAUGUGCUCAGCAGUUCACUCUGUUGAGUAAAGCUAUGGCGCUUCGGGAUGGGCCCGCGGCCCAUCAGCUAGUUGGUAGGGUAAAGGCCUACCAAGGCUAAGACGGGUAGGGGGCGUGAGAGCGCGAUCCCCCACACUGGCACUGAGACACGGGCCAGACUCCUACGGGAGGCAGCAGUGAGGAAUAUUGCGCAAUGGACGAAAGUCUGACGCAGCGACGCCGCGUGGGCGAUGAAGGCCUUCGGGUCGUAAAGCCCUUUUCUGGGGGAAGAGAAAGGACGGUACCCCAGGAAUAAGCCCCGGCUAACUACGUGCCAGCAGCCGCGGUAAAACGUAGGGGGCAAGCGUUAUCCGGAUUUACUGGGCGUAAAGAGCGUUGAGGCGGUUUUGUAAGUUGGGUGUGAAAGCCCUGGGCUUAACUCAGGGAAGCCGUUCAAUACUGCGAAGCUUGAGGGCAGCAGAGGGAGGUGGAAUUCCCGGAGUAGCGGUGAAAUGCGUAGAUAUCGGGAGGAACACCAGUGGCGAAGGCGGCCUCCUGGGCUGCUCCUGACGCUGAAGGCGAAAGCUAGGGGAGCGAACGGGAUUAGAAACCCCGGUAGUCCUAGCCGUAAACGAUGGAUGCUAGGUGUGGGGGGUGUAGAUUCCCUCCGUGCCGCAGUUAACGCGUUAAGCAUCCCGCCUGGGGAGUACGGCCGCAAGGCUAAAACUCAAACGAAUUGACGGGGGCCCGCACAAGCAGCGGAGCGUGUGGUUUAAUUCGAUGCUACACGAAGAACCUUACCUGGGCUUGACCUACCAGGUAGUAGUG